GAUGAACGCUGGCGGCGUGCCUAAUACAUGCAAGUCGAGCGAACGGACGAGAAGCUUUCUUUUCUGAUGUUAGCGGCGGACGGGUGAGUAACACGUGGAUAACCUACCUAUAAGACUUGGAUAACUUCGGGAAACCGGAGCUAAUACCGGAUAAUAUUUUGAACCGCAUGGUUCAAAAGUGAAAGACGGUCUUGCUGUCACUUAUAGAUGGAUCCGCGCUGCAUUAGCUAGUUGGUAAGGUAACGGCUUACCAAGGCAACGAUGCAUAGCCGACCUGUGAGGGUGAUCGGCGACACUGGAACUGAGCCACGGUCCAGACUCCGACGGGAGGCAGCAGUAGGGAAUCUUCCGCGAUGGGCGAAAGCCUGACGGAGCAACGCCGCGGGAGUGAUGAAGGUCUUCGGACCGUAAAACUCUGUUAUUAGGGAAGAACAUAUGUGUAAGUGACUGUGCACAUCGUGACGGUACCUAAUCAGAAAGCCACGGCUAACUACGUG
rnacentral:rRNA from 1 species